rnacentral:tRNA from 2 species
GCUCGGCCGGGUCGAGGACGUCGACGGAGGCCACCCGCGCCUCGGGGUCGUCGGCCACGCGGCGCAGCACCCGUACGAAGCGGGCGCCGAGCGCC